CACAUCACGUUGAAACGCUGGUUUCCGUACGACCAACGAAGUUAAGCAACGUCGUGUCUGGUGAGUACACUAGAUGGGUGACUGCUUAGGAGUACCAGGUGCUGUAAG